UGAAUCCUGGGAGCUCUCCUGGAAGCGGGAGGGAAGCCACGAGGUGGCAGUGUGCCCCAGGAAAUGGAGCGCUGCCACCUGCCCGGCGCUCCGGAGAGCAGGAAUUCAGCCCGGAGAUCCGGCUGGGGACACUUGGCCUCUUACGGGAGCUGAGGCACGUCUGGGCAUCAUCACUCUGAGCUGAAUUAGACCUGUCUGAGCUUUCACUGUCCUGUCACAGAAGAGGCAAAGGAAGCAACAGGGCUCAGAGUGAGUGGCUCCAGGUGUCAACUGAGCAAACUCAGGAUCAGCUGCAGCUCUUCCAGAGUGCGUGUCCACGUGCAGAAUAUUCCGGAACAGCAGCAGCAGCAGCAGCAGCAGCGUUCAGACCGAGCAAGAUGGAGUGGCCUGGCCAGGCCGUGGCCUCACUGGCAGGAGCUGGGGAGCGGCCGGUGGCAGGAAUAGCGUGGCCGUGAAGGUGCCAUCCUUCAAAAAGAGGAUCCUGGCAAAAACGUGGCUUAAUGCAGGGCACUGCGUGGCCAAGGCGAGACAGCAGCAGACACUUAAACUAGGACAGGGUAACUCCUCACAUCUGCUUGGACACAGGAGUGACUGAAUUACUGAGGAAGCAGAGAGACCUGAAAUCUCCUUGACAUCCUCUCUGGAUGCUUGGAACAGCCUCAGUCGGGCAAUACCUGCUCCCUUCUGCUCGUGGAGCCUCCUGUGCCACGCAGGAGACUGGAAAAGCACUUGGAAAUGGCUGAAGAGGAGGGAUGCUUCCUGGCAAAUGGUCUCUAAACCA